GAGUUUAUCACUCUCUGGCUGUAAGCCAUCCAAUGUUAUCAGGAGCAACUACCCAUUGAUUUUUUCGUAUCCGCCGUACUGUGUUCAUGGUGGUGACACAUGGCCUGCCGGAGACUCCUCGAUGGAUCCUGGAACCCGGAUGUCCCAGGCAAUCAUUUCAUUCAUUAGCUAAUCAUUGCAAGCCAUGGGCCACUAGAUCACUGUCCCAGAAAAAAUAAGGGGACAUUCAAUUCCCUCCACACUAUCUCAGAUUGAGAUUGUCUCCAAUUCCCCACAUUUUCUUGAAGACUUAUUAUUUAAAACUCCACUUUCCGAUACAAACCUCUGAGCAGUCUGGUUCAGAAGAGACUGGGUGGAUUCAGAUCCUGGCUCUGCCAUGCAUUAGCCCCUUUGAGCAAUCUCUCUGCGCUUGAGUUGUGCUCCUUUGGAACCCAGGACAGUAGUGGCCACGUCAGUGGGCCUCAUGAGGAGAGGGAGUUGGGAGGUGUCAAUGCUAAGAACAGGGCUCGGCAUUGUGAACGUGCUCAAUAAUUGUUAGCUCAUUGCUAUGAAAAUAACGAUGAUUACUAUUACUAGUAUAUUAUCAGCCAAAAUUCUUGUACAUAAGUGAAAGAACCCAAAUUUGGACAUCUCAAGCGAAGCAAGAGAAAUUACUGGAAUAUCUGGUAUCCCGGAACGGAUGGGAGCGGGGAGGACCAGGCCUGAGAAGCAUGAAAGGACAGGAGAGGUCCUGAGGGCUGGGCCACCACAGCCACAGGCAGACAGGGCAGGGGGCGUCCGGUCCAUGCACCACCACGGCUGCUGCAAAAGGCAGACGCGAGCAGCUCCAGGUCCCUUUGUCAAGACUGAAGUUGCAAACCACUCCUUAAGCUAAACCUGUCACAUGCUUCUGGGCACCGACUGCCAUGGAGGCUACACAAUGGGAGUUCCCCCCACCGGGAGUUGGGGUGCUAUUAGGAAAGAGGAGUUAGAUACUGAAGAGCCCAAGGAUGACAAGUACUGAACUGGUUGGGUAGCAUUAGUGUCACCGGCGCAAAUGAUCAGCAGCCCAUGGGUAUGACAUGGGACCAACAGGAAGUUCCCUCUUUUGAGUCUGAAAUGCACUUGUCAAAGAAAGGAGGUUUUCAGCUUUUCUGAACAUUUGAGGUGGCCUUCAGAUCACACCAUCUACACCAGGAAAGUCUCCCAAAGAGAUGUAACCAUCAUACCAGCUCACUCAACUCCGCACAUCUCCUCUCCAGCCUCUCUCCACUUCUAGGUCAGGACCCCAGCUUCCUCCCUGCAGCUCUAGGAGGGGGAGGGACCCCCAAGAAACAGAAAGGCCAGGGGUGCCUUCAGGGAGGGGGGAGGCCUUAGUUCAUCUUGGACGGCUGGUCUACCACUGCGACGAGGAUGGGCUGGGCCAGGCCAGCAGGACUUCUCUGUCUCUCUGGAAGUUUCCUCGUGAGGAUACGGAGGGAGGAAGAUUGAGUGGGAGGCUACGUCCAGCGUGUAGGCCCUUAGUUGCCGAGCCAAGAUUUGAAAUUUAAUCUACAUAUAAACUUAAAACAGGAUCAGACUCACAGCUCUGACUGGAGGCCCCCUGGGGUACAACCAGGGCCUCCCUGCAUUCCCUGCACCACUUCAGCACUGGAGGCUCUUACAACAGAGCAGAAGGACAGGAGCCUGGCGCUGGAUUUAUAUUGGACUUUCUGCUAAACUUGGCAGGUGGGAACCUUUCCGUCAAGUUAGGAAAACAAGAAAGAUGACAUUUCUUUCAUCUUUUUUUUUUAAGAUUUUAUUUAAGAGAAAGAGAGAGAGAGAGAGGCAGCGACACAGGCAGAGGGAGAAGCAAGCUCCCUGCGAGGAGCCUGACGCGGGACUUGAUCCCGGGUCCCCAGGACCAGGUGCUAAACCGCUGAGCCACCCGGGCUGCCCAAAAGAUGACAUUUCUUGAGUAGCUGAUGGUCUGGAGCAGUUCCUGUCUCAUCAGACAAUACAAACAACUAUUGCCUGAGCACUUCGCACGUGGGAGGCAUAACGCCAGCUACUUAUGAGCAUCAUGGGGGCCCCUCAUUCUCACAAGCCCCGUCUGGGCUGAGUGCCGUAAACAUUCCAGUUUGUAGUUGAAUCAACAGAGGCUCAGAAAGGCUACGGAACCCUCUCAAACCCACACCGCCGGGUGUGAGUGAGGGAGCCUCAUGGAUUUUCAAAGUCUAUACCCUCAACUAUUCACUAAAGUCAGUGUUGACGGGUCUAAAAGUCGUGGCAAAGAUACACAAGAGUGUUUUCUCCUCUACACCUAAUAAUAUUCAUAAUCUCCCAUGUUCACGCUUACGUAGUGCCUGGGAACGCUCUGUGGUUUUACAGAAUAAUCGUGUCCUCCUGGGGUCUUCUUAUCUGUGAUAUAAACCGUUUCCUCCUUCUUUGAAGAUUUAACAUCAACACAGAGAAGAAUGACAAUUUAGGGCAGUGUGAGGAUGGUUCCAGUUACAUUUUAACGUAUCCUUUUUUUUAACUUCGGUAUCACCCUCCUAACAGGACCGAUGCCUUUGUCCAACACACCCCACAGCAUCUGCCUCUCCCCUCUCCCCUUUGCAAUCAUUCAGCUUCUUCACACCCAGAACAGCCACACUCGGAGAGAGCCGCAUCCCUGCAUUUGUGCGUGAACCCAACUGCCAUCUCUUGAGGAGACAACCAUUUCUCACCGGUCUUAACGACCACUACAAGGCCACCUGACCUGUUUUAAAGGCCACACAUGGGACGGAAAUCAAUCACCUUCUCUGGAAUGGAGAAUGUGGAAUGGAAGGCCUUGGGGUUCUACGGUGUGGUCGGCCUACUGAUGCUUUUGUAGAGAACACAGACCAGGUGUUUUCAUUUAUGAAUGACUACACGUGAUCUUCAGAAGCCCAAGCAGUAUCAUCCAACCCGCACGCUGGCACCAGGAUCAUUCCCCUGGCCCCGAGGGCCGCCGCGGCCACAGGGCGGGCCCCCGACCCCAAGCAGGUGAAGGCUUCGGGAAGACAUGGAGCUUGAGGGCCCCGGCCAGCCCUCGGCCCACCCUCCAGGCUCCAGACAAGACCCCGUCACUUGCCCUCAGAUCCCCAGCCUGCCCAGUGGGUUCCGGGCGCGGCGACUCCCCCGGCUCCAAGAGCCGGCUCCCUAGAGGGGACAAUUUGGAAAAGGAAGGGACAGCCCAAGACAAGCCCAUGCGACCAAAACAAAUCCUUGAAUUGCAACUGUCAAAUUUAGGCUCCAGAGACUUCCACAUGCGCAGGUGUUCAGAAGAUAAACCACACUGGUCUAGCGAUCUCCGUGAAAGCCCCGGCACUCAAGCAAGCACGUUGGCAUUUAAACUUGAAACUGUUUAAAAUUAUAAAACUAAUUCGUUAACAUUCCAAACCCAGGUUUUUAAAAAGCACACCCCCCAUUGGGUUUGUCUGGCGUUCAAUAAAGUACGUUUCUGCUGAGAUAGAAGAGGAGAGAAACCCCUGACCCAGUUAAGCUCAGGCACAACUAAUCUUGCAAAUUGAUCAAAAAACUGCUUCGUAAAAAUUCCCUUGUUGAAGUGUCUCGGGAAUAACUUAGUAAGAAUUUAAAAGAUCCCAGGGUAAAUCAGGACAGAGAACUGGUUUUCCAACAUGACACACACACAAAAAGGCUGUGUCUUUCACUUCAUUAGAGAGGCAAUUUUAUUUUAACGUGACAUUUUUUAAAGGCUAUGUUGUCUCAUUUUCUGUGUGUCACCCUACGUUUCUGCCACACCUACACCCUCUCGUGCAAAAUGCUUCUAAAUUUGGCAAACUCAGCUUUACCUCCCUUUUACAUUGCAGCUGACGUUGUUGAGUUGUGGUUGUUUAAUUAUAGUUAACCAAUAGAAUACACAAUGCAGAAGAAAAGAUUAAUAAUAAAGCAAAAAUUUUUUUAAAUGAAAAGUCUCUGAUAAAGGACUGUUUUCCAAAAUAUACAAGGAAUUAUUAAAACUCAACAAUAAGAACACUAACAACCCAAUUUACAGCUGGGCAAAAAAUGUCGAACAGACCCUUCACCAAAGACAGAAUUUCAUAAAUAAGCACAUGAAAACACAUACACCUUGCAUUUCAUCUGGGAAAUACAAAUUUUAAAAAACAAGAAGAUAUCACCACACACCUAUUAAAAUGCCCACAAUCUGGAGCACAAAGGGCUGGCAAGGAUGUGGAGCAACAGGGGGGACUGCAAAAUGGGGCAGCCACGUUGGAGGACAUUUUGGCAGUUUCUUACAAAACUCAGAUACUCUUACCAUUCGAUCCAGUAAUCAUGCUCUUUGGUAUUUACCCAAAUUAAUUGAAAACAUGACCAUACAAAAACCUGCAUAUGAAUAUUUAUAACAGUUUUAUUCAUAAUUGCCAAAACUUGGAAGCAAC